rnacentral:rRNA from 1 species
UACGUAGGGCGCAAGCGUUGUCCGGAAUUAUUGGGCGUAAAGAGCUCGUAGGCGGUUUGUCGCGUCUGCUGUGAAAACUGGGGGCUCAACCCCCAGCCUGCAGUGGGUACGGGCAGACUAGAGUUCGGUAGGGGAGAUUGGAAUUCCUGGUGUAGCGGUGGAAUGCGCAGAUAUCAGGAGGAACACCGAUGGCGAAGGCGGAUCUCUGGGCCGUAACUGACGCUGAGGAGCGAAAGCGUGGGUAGCAAACAGG